rnacentral:rRNA from 1 species
CGCAUCUGUGCAUGCAGCAUAUCAAUAAGCGGAGGAAAAGAAACUAACAAGGAUUCCCCUAGUAACGGCGAGUGAAGCGGGAAGAGCUCAAAUUUGAAAUCUUAAAGGGUUUCCCUUUACGAAUUGUAGUUUAAAGAAGUGUUUUCUGUUGAGGUUUUGGUAAAAGUUCUUUGGAAUAGGACAUCAUAGAGGGUGAGAAUCCCGUAUUUGACCUUUACUUUCAACUUUGUGAUACACUUUCAAAGAGUCGGAUUGUUUGGGAAUGCAGUCCAAAAUGGGUGGCAAAUUUCAUCUAAAGCUAAAUAUUGGCGAGAGACCGAUAGCGAACAAGUACCGUGAGGGAAAGAUGAAAAGAACUUUGAAAAGAGAGUUAAACAGUACGUGAAAUUGUCAAAAGGGAAGCGUUUGACACCAGUGUUGUUUUUCUGAAAAUCAAUUAAAGAACUGUUUAUGCUAAGUUGUUUAGACUUUAUCAGCUAACUGUUUAGUUUUGAGCUUUUCUUUAAUGCACUUUUCAGUUAACAAGUCAACAUCAAUUUCUUUUGCUGUAAAAAAGCUUGAGGAAGGUGGCUUGAGAUUCGUCUUAAGUGUUUAUAGCCUCUUGCCUAUGCAGUCGGAGAGAUUGAGGUCUGCAGCGUAGAUCCUUCGGGGCUAAAUGCAUUUGUGCUAAGUUAUAGCAUUUUAUAGACAACUUGUUGACUAUGAUUUGUCCUGUAGCUUACUCGCUUACGUUAUUUUACCUACGCUUAGGAUGUUGAACGCGCACAGAGUCUC